GAUGAACGCUGGCGGCGUGCCUAAUACAUGCAAGUCGAGCGAACCACUUCGGUGGUGAGCGGCGAACGGGUGAGUAACACGUAGGUAAUCUGCACAUCAGACGGGGACAACGAUUGGAAACGAUCGCUAAUACCGGAUAGGACGAAAGUUUAAAGGUGCUUCUGGCACCGCUGAUGGAUGAGCCUGCGGCGCAUUAGCUAGUUGGUAGGGUAAAGGCCUACCAAGGCGACGAUGCGUAGCCGACCUGAGAGGGUGAACGGCCAAACUGGGACUGAGACACGGCCCAGACUCCUACGGGAGGCAGCAGUAGGGAAUCUUCGGCAAUGGGCGAAAGCCUGACCGAGCAACGCCGCGUGAAUGAUGAAGGCCUUCGGGUUGUAAAAUUCUGUUAUAAGGGAAGAACGACUUUAGUAGGAAAUGGCUAGAGUGUGACGGUACCUUAUGAGAAAGCCACGGCUAACUACGUGCCAGCCGCCGCAGUAA
rnacentral:rRNA from 1 species